rnacentral:rRNA from 1 species
CCCGGCGACCGGCGCACGGUGAGUAACACGUAUGAAACCUGCCCGUAGCAGGGGGAUAAGCGGAAGAAAUUCCGUCUAAUACCGCGUAACAACCCAUGGAGGCAUCUCUGUGGGUUUAAAGGAAGCGAUUCCGGCUACGGAUGGUCAUGCGUCGCAUUAGCUUGUUGGCGGGGUAACGGCCCACCAAGGCGACGAUGCGUAGGGGUUCUGAGAGGAAGGUCCCCCACACUGGUACUGAGACACGGUCCAGACUCCUACGGAAGGCAGCAG